GACGUAGGGGGCCAGCGUUGCUCGGAAUUACUGGGCGUAAAGGGUUCGUAGGCGGUGCGGCAAGUCGGGAGUGAAAUCUCUGGGCUUAACUCAGAGGCUGCUUCCGAAACUGCCGUGCUAGAGUACGGGAUAGGCGAGUGGAAUUGCAGGUGUAGCGGUGAAAUGCGUAGAUAUCUGCAGGAACACCCGUGGCGAAGGCGGCUCGCUGGACCGUUACUGACGCUGAGGAACGAAAGCUAGGGGAGCAAACAGG
rnacentral:rRNA from 1 species